rnacentral:rRNA from 1 species
UACGGNGGGGGUUAGCGUUGUUCGGAAUUACUGGGCGUAAAGCGCGCGUAGGCGGACCAGAAAGUUGGGGGUGAAAUCCCGGGGCUCAACCCCGGAACGGCCUCCAAAACUCCUGGUCUUGAGUUCGAGAGAGGUGAGUGGAAUUCCGAGUGUAGAGGUGAAAUUCGUAGAUAUUCGGAGGAACACCAGUGGCGAAGGCGGCUCACUGGCUCGAUACUGACGCUGAGGUGCGAAAGUGUGGGGAGCAAACAGG